GUAGCCAUUUCCUUCUGCAGGGGAUCUUCCUGACCUAGGGAUCAAGCCCGUAUUUCCUGCACUGGCAGGCGGAUUCUUUACCGCUGAGCCACCAACUGAUCACAGACCUCAAUAUACACAUGCUAAAGUAGACUUCAUAUCUGAACCGGAUCUGAGGACCCCCCAAAAUGCUUAGGGGUGGAAAAAGAAACCACCAAAUCCUUUCUGAUAUCUGUGACAUCAUCUAGAACAGUGAAGAGAUCUGAAUCUGAAAGACUCAGAAGACCAGGUUUCUCCCUCCUACAUUUUCCUCCUCCUGAAAACUUGAGCAAACCUCUUAACCUCAUGAAGCCUCGAUGUCUUCAUCUGUCAUCCUGAAGUAACACAUGUACUAGAUAGGGCUAGGCAUGUUUAGACAUCCCACCUGUUUUAAUCUCUAUAACAAGCCAGGAAUAUAGGCAUCUGAUUUCCAUUUUAAAGAGGAGGAAACUGAAGUCCAGAGAGUUUAACUAAUUUUCCCACUUUACCACAGCUGGUAAGCAGCAGAGGUGGGAUUCAGAGAUUCAAGCCCCCAGUUCCAGAGAUUUCACUUAUUCCUUCAUUUAUUGCUUCAUUCCAAAAAGUUACUGAGCAUCUACUACACACCAGGGCAGCAGAGGGUGAGGUUGGACAGCCCUCACCGAUUCAAUGAUCAUGAACUUGAGUGAACUCCAGGAGACAGGUGAGGGGCAGGGAGGCCUGGCCGUGCUGCAGUCCAUGGGCUCACAGAGUCGGACGCGACCUAGCGACUCAACAACAACAGCACACACCAGACACGCCUCUCGAUGCCGGGGACACAGCAGUCCCUAACACAGACAAACAUCGCCCUGUUCAGAGCACUUAGAUUUCCACUCGGUCAGGCUGUCCUUCUAAAACUGGUCGCACAAAGGAACGGGGGCAACAGGACCGCAGUGGCCCAGAUCAGCCCCUUGGCACGCACACCGUCUUCAGAAGGAGGGCGCAGGAAGACUCGCGGGAAGACGCUAGCCCCGCCCACAGGCGAAAGGUGGAGCCAGGUGAAAAUCCACUGGGAAAGGGACAAAGGAGAGCAGCCUCAUCAACCCCUAGAAGCCCAGGAAACGCUCGCUCACAGUGCACUCCUGAAUGAUAACCACGGUGGAGCGGCAGGCCGGGUGCGCUGAAAGGAAGGACCGCAGGAGGCAUGCUGGUCAGGGGACCAGAGACAGACACUGAGACAUGAAGAUGGUCAAACCGAUUGAGGCAAGGAAUGUCAAGGGCUUCCUGUGGUCCCACUGGGAGCCCAUCAGCAACACAAAUGACUCCAGCCAUGUGCAGCUCCUGAAUUUUUCCAGCCAUUCUGCAACAUGCAUCAUCGGGUACUCUUAGCCCGAAGCUUUGCAUAGUUCACAAGUGUAGCGCCUAACCUCGCUCUUCUCCAGCCUGGAUCUGUUCAACCAUCAGGCCAAAUCUGUUGAAUACCACUUUGACCCUCCCAGAUAUGGUUCCAGAGGCACCCACAGGAUGCUAGGUUUUGUCUCAGAAGCACGUGAUGGAUUUUCCCUCUGCUAUCCCUUUCUUGUCCCCAAUAAUCUCGUGGACUGACUUCUGGACGAGCACCUCCUAAGUACCAGGCACUGUGAUCAUGUAACCCUAGAACACCUCUGUGAAGGACUGACAUUGUCUGUGUUAUAGAUGAAGCAAUUGAAGUUCCAAGACAAUAAGAAAAUUCGUGAAAAAAACAUGCAUGCAGGAUCCCAGCCCAGGUUCAUGGCAUGCCAACCCAUCCUCCCUCCAGUUCAGGAAGCCCCUAGCCUGUGUUUCUCUGCUGUAAAACGGAUUCAGCCAUGCCAAUCUCAUACAGUUGCCAUGAAAUUUCAAUGAGAAUCCCAUAAAGCCCUCAGACAGCACCUGGACAAUGAGUGGAUGCUGGCUGACAGUAGUAAGAAAAGAGGCAUCCCCUCCCAGCCCUCCUAAGAAGUUACUGCUCAUUGCCUUGAGGGAAGAAACAGGGCAGGAAGGAAAUGAAUGUUGAGCAUCCUUAAGACUAUUUGGUUUCUUCUCCCUAUAUGAACUAAGUUGCUUUCCAAUUCCUGAGCCCUCAUGGCUCUGAUCAGGCAGGCACUUGUAGGUGAGAAUCUAGGCUGCACAGAAGCCUGAAGCAUUUGUUCGAGAAUUAAAAAGUCAGCCUGUGUGCCCCCCACCCCCAGUAAAUUCCCUGUGGGUGAGCUGGUUAACAGUGGGGCCUCGCGCGAUAAGCCAUUAAUCUCCGUGUGUAAUGCAAGUGCCGUACAACUUACUUCAACCCUAAUCUCCCAUGAGUUACAGCCUCUUCUGUGAUUCAUAAAACAAAUCAGUCACACCUCCCAGGCUCUCAUCUAUUUAUUACUGCUUUUUAAAUGCUCGGAGAGGGAGAAGCUGGAGGAUGUUAUUCAUCCCUUCUCCAGCCCAGAUGACCUGCAGGGAAAUGGACUCGACACCCUUCCUCGGGUCACAAACCAAGGUCAGUUGAAUUCUGAGACUUACAAGGAGCUGAUGGUUUUGCAUCCAUCCAAUAGGAACGACCUGGGCCUCCCAGAUGGUACAGUGGUAAAGAAUCCACCUGCCAAUGCAGGAGACCUGGGUUCAAUCCCUGGGUCAGGAAGAUCCCCUGGAAGAGGAAAUGGCCGCCCACUCCAGUAUUCUUGCCUGGCAAAUCUCCUGGACAGAGAAGCCUGAUGGGCUACAGUCCAUGGGGUUGCAGGGUCAGACACGACAGCACCGCCUCCACCGAUAAGAAGGACCUGCCCUAUUGCUAACCUUAGGGGCUGGAAGCACAGUUCUGACUAAGUGGCAAGCCUGGUCAUCACUGACUUAACUCAGGAGUUAAACAGGGAUGGACGCUCCACAGGCUACACCCACUGGAUAACUUCCAUAGGAGAUACCUGAGCCCAGGUCGGACUCUCACCUCUUGGUCGCAUGAGCCCUGGAGAGCGUAGCUCAUUUCCUAUAAGGUCAGCUCUCAGACCCAAGAGUUGGUCUGUUGGGUUUAAUUUCCUGGGUCUUCCCACAGAGAAGUUGCUCAAAUACAGGUCUUUGCAAAAUCAGGUGGCCUGCUCAGUUGGUAAAGAACCUGCCUACAAUGCGGGAACUUCAGGUUCGAUCCCUGAGUCAGGAAGAUCCCCUGGAGAAAGGAAUGGCUAUCCACUCCAGUAUUCUUGCCUGGAGAGUUUCAUGGACUGAGAAGCCUGGAGGGCUACAGUCCACGGAGUCACAAAGAGACACAACUGAGUGACUACCACUACUAACUACUACAGGGUAUAAUCCUCGCAAAUAGAGGCCCUGGGUGGGGACAUUGGGUGGGCAGCAGCCUUCAAAGUGGAAGAGGAGACAGCAAAGCAGGAGCUUGGAAAGGUGGGAUAGUGUGAACUCUAGCCAUGAGAUGAUACUAUCAGCCCAAUUUAGCCAUCCCCCUCCCCUGAUUAAAACUCUCUAGGGGAAAAAAAAACUUCUCUAAGGAUUUCCCUGAUGGCCCAGUGGCUCAGACUUUGCAUUCCCAAGGCAGGGGGUCCGGGUUUGAUCCCCAGUCAGGGUACUAGAUCCCACAUGCCACAAAUAAAGACCCCGCAUGCUACAAUGAAACUCAAUGAUCUGGCAAGCUGCAAUUAAGAUGUGGCACAGCCAAAUAAACAUUUUUUUAAAAAGUAAUAAAUAGACAUCACCAUUUUAAAAAAAAAAAAAAAAGCU
ensembl:lincRNA